rnacentral:lncRNA from 1 species
GCGAGCUGUCUGAUCUUGAAGAUGGACUUUAGAGGAUAAAAGCUUUCUGCUUGAGGCUAGAAAUUUGAUUAUCAUUUGCUGAUUUAUUGAGAAACAAUCUUUCACUAGCAAAGAGCGUUAAAAAAGAAUAAAGUUCUCACUAUGCAACUAAUAUUUCUUUUUCAGAGUUAUACUACUUGGAGGCUGGAAUAAGGGUGUAUUGUGGGCCGGCCCUAGCCCGGAACCGGCCCGGGCUCGCUUGCCAAAUGGUCCGGUUCA